AACGAACGCUGGCGGCAGGCCUAACACAUGCAAGUCGAACGCCCCGCAAGGGGAGUGGCAGACGGGUGAGUAACGCGUGGGAAUCUACCCAGUGGUACGGAACAACCAGGAGAAAUCUUGGCUAAUACCGUAUAAGUCCUUCGGGAGAAAGAUUUAUCGCCAUUGGAUGAGCCCGCGUCGGAUUAGGUAGUUGGUGAGGUAAUGGCUCACCAAGCCUACGAUCCGUAGCUGGUCUGAGAGGAUGAUCAGCCACAUUGGGACUGAGACACGGCCCAAACUCCUACGGGAGGCAGCGGUGGGGAAUAUUGGACAAUGGGCGAAAGCCUGAUCCAGCCGUGCCGCGUGAGUGAUGAAGGCCCUAGGGUUGUAAAGCUCUUUCGGCGGGGAAGAUAAUGACUGUACCCGCAGAAGAAGCCCCGGCUAACUUCGUGCCAGCAGCCGCCGUAAAAC
rnacentral:rRNA from 1 species